rnacentral:rRNA from 1 species
AGUGAACGCUGGCGGUAGGCCUAACACAUGCAAGUCGAACGGCAGCACAGUAAGAGCUUGCUCUUACGGGUGGCGAGUGGCGGACGGGUGAGGAAUACAUCGGAAUCUACUUUUUCGUGGGGGAUAACGUAGGGAAACUUACGCUAAUACCGCAUACGACCUACGGGUGAAAGCAGGGGAUCUUCGGACCUUGCGCGAUUGAAUGAGCCGCUGUCGGAUUAGCUAGUUGGCGGGGUAAAGGCCCACCCAGGCGACGAUCCGUAGCUGGUCUGAGAGGAUGAUCAGCCACACUGGAACUGAGACACGGUCCAGACUCCUACGGGAGGCAGCAGUGGGGAAUAUUGGACAAUGGGCGCAAGCCUGAUCCAGCCAUACCGCGUGGGUGAAGAAGGCCUUCGGGUUGUAAAGCCCUUUUGUUGGGAAAGAAAAGCAGCAGGUUAAUACCCCGCUGUUCUGACGGUACCCAAAGAAUAAGCACCGGCUAACUUCGUG